rnacentral:rRNA from 1 species
UACGUAGGGGGCGAGCGUUAUCCGGAUUCACUGGGUGUAAAGGGAGCGUAGACGGCCAUGCAAGCCAGGGGUGAAAGCCCGGGGCCCAACCCCGGGACUGCCCUUGGAACUGCGUGGCUGGAGUGCGGGAGGGGCAGGCGGAAUUCCUGGUGUAGCGGUGAAAUGCGUAGAUAUCAGGAGGAACACCGGCGGCGAAGGCGGCCUGCUGGACCGCGACUGACGUUGAGGCUCGAAAGCGUGGGGAGCGAACAGG